rnacentral:rRNA from 1 species
AUUGAACUCUGGCGGCAGGCCUAACACAUGCCAGUCGAGCGGAGCGGCGGACGGGUGAGUAAUGCCUAGGAAUCUGCCUGGUCGUGGGGGAUAACGUCCGGAAACGGGCGCUAAUACCGCAUACUAUCAGAUGAGCCCAGGUCGGAUUAGAUAGUUGGUGGGGUAAAGGCCUACCAAGGCGACGAUCCGUAGCUGUUCUGAGAGGAUGAUCAGUCACACGGGAAAUGAGACACGGUGCAGACUGCUACGGUAGGAAGCAGUGGGGAAUAUUGGAGAAUGGGCGAAAGCCUGAACAUGCCAUGCCGCGAGUGUGAAGAAGGGCAUCGGAUAGUAAAGCACUUUAAGUUGGGAGGCGUUACCAACAGAAUAAGCACCGGCUAACUUCGUGCCAGCAGCCGCGGUAAUAC